UAGGGAAUAUUGGGCAAUGGACGCAAGUCUGACCCAGCCAUGCCGCGUGAAGGAUGAAGGUCCUCUGGAUUGUAAACUUCUUUUAUUAGGGAAGAAACCCCCCGAUUCAUCGGGGGCUGACGGUACCUAAGGAAUAAGCACCGGCUAACUCCGUGCCAGCAGCCGCGGUAAUACGGAGGGUGCAAGCGUUAUCCGGAUUCACUGGGUUUAAAGGGAGCGUAGGCGGGUUGGUAAGUCAGUGGUGAAAGCCCCGAGCUCAACUUGGGAAUUGCCAUUGAUACUGCUAAUCUUGAGUGAGGUUGAAGUGGGCGGAAUAUGACAUGUAGCGGUGAAAUGCUUAGAUAUGUCAUAGAACACCGAUUGCGAAGGCAGCUCACUAAGCCUUUACUGACGCUGAGGCUCGAAAGCGUGGGGAUCAAACAG
rnacentral:rRNA from 1 species